ACUCUGGGAGCCUUGAUUGUUCUGUUUGUUAUAGUCUGUUGCUGUAUCCAUCUCUCCACCAGAAUGAGCAACCCGAUGAUGACUCUGAGCACCCAAAGGUGCCCACCCGCAUGUCCUCAGGGUCUAGCAAGGGUUUCGGAAAUAUCUGGGGAGAGACUAAGGAAAGCAGGGUAGAAGAACACGGUGUUUUAUCUUGUUAGGUGGGGGCUUUGGUGACAGAUGUGGCCAGCAUGGGAAAGAAAACCAAAGGUAACAAGAGGCAUCACAUAGGCCGAAGUUUCUGGAAAGAAGCUUGGGGGCAGUGGCAGAAAACCCUGCAGUCUUGGUUGUGACACCGGUCACCUACCCGCUGUGUUGCUUAUUGUCGACUUUCUUCCCUCUUUUUUCUCUACCCGCCCCCCCGCCCCACCCCCAACAAAUAUUUGCUGAAUGCCUACUGUAUGCAGAAUCCUGGGGUUGGCUGGGGAAGGGAGAGAGGGAGUGAUUGUCGAAAACCGCAAAGACAAGGUCCAACUCUGAGUCCAAGAGUACAGAUGACGAAACAGAGAAAGAAUCCAUCUGUUAUUAACAAGCUUAAAAUUCCAAACCUGGAAAAACAAAUCCUCUGUUGCUUAGUAAAUAUUUGUGGAGUAGCUGAACGAGGGUCCAGCCCCAAGAUAACUAAGGCACAACCUUUUCCCUCCAGAAGUUCACGGCAACAAACCACAUGCCCUCCGUACCUGGUAAAGGCUCCGGACCCACUAAUGGAUCAGAGCUACUGUUCCUACCGUGUUCAUUAUGUAAUUUCUUCCUAAUCUGAGUCCUGGGGCUUUGUUUGUUUAGUGUGGGUGCUGCAGCUUCUGAGGACUGAGUGCAACAGGAAAGCAUUUUCUAAGCCAUUGUCAUCCCAUUUGAUCCGCUGAAGGACACCUUGGUCUCAAUAGUUCUACGAAUCCAGAGAGUCUGCUCUACAGAAAUGAAGACAAGCACGCAGUCAACCGAGGGUUUUCAUGACCCCUAGUGGUAAAUAGGGGGAAGGGCCGCUUUAAAGCUGAAGGAGACCCUGGUUCCAUCCCUGAGUUGGGAAGAUUCCCCUGGACUCCAAUAUUCUUGCCUGGAUAAUCCCAUGGACAGAGCGCAUGGGGUGCCAAAGAGUCAGACACUGAACGACGAAUACUUUGGGAGAAAACACACCUGUUCCAAGCACUUCUUAAUGCCCAUACUGCCUAAGAACCCUGUGAAGUGAUGAUCUGGAAAUGGCAAUCCUUAAACAUUUCUGGUGAUGUUCUGUUCUUUUGAUUAAUAUUUCUUCAGAGCCAGCCCACUGCCUAGCCAGCCCACACUUAAACUGGUUCAGUUUAAGAAUGAAUGAAAAAUCUGAGACUUUAGAGAGAGAAGCACAUCGAUAUUUCAAGUCAGGAUCAGGGUCUCUUCAUUUUUUUUUUUUUUUUUAAUGAAGGCAGUCUCUGUAUUUGUAAGAAGUUCGAUUUGGUCAUCUGGUUGUGGAGAAGAAUGGUAUUUUUCUGUUGAGUAAAUCUCAUGGAUGCCUUAGAGAUAUGUUUUAGGCUGACUGUCCUGGUCUUUUUUGUUUUCAUUUCUGGCUACACCACACGGCAUGUGGGAUCUUAGUUCCCCAACCAGGGAUUGAACCCCAGGCCCCUCGCCUUGGAAGGGCAGUGUCUUAACCUCUAGACCACCAGGGAAGUCCCCUUGCCCCUGUCUUUUACGAAGGGUUUACAGGGCCUUUCUUAAUGUUCUCCAGUGUGUCGGGCAGCAGCUAAUUUUUAGAGGAAGCAGUGAUAAGAAUCUGAGAAAGGCUUUUCGCCCCCGAGUUCCUUGCACCGCCGUCCAGCAGAAGGCUGCCUGGGACAGAUGGGUAUCUAGCCUCCUCAUGCCUUCCCCAGGAAGAGGCUCCCUCUUCCAUUACCCAGGCUGACAUUCUUCUGCAGGUCCAUUGAAGGCCUGCAGAGUGGGGCCCCUUCCCCUUUCCUCCAGCCCCACUUCCCGCCUCUUCCUCAGACUUGACGUGUGUUCUAACCAAUUCCAACUCCCUUGUGUCUCACUCCUCUCUGCUUUGCACAUGUAGGUCCCCUCAGCCAGGAGACCCUGUCCCUCCAAGGCUCUGGACUCACUGCUCAAGACCCCGUGUAAGCGUUCUCUCUCCUGGGAGCCUUGAAUGAUCCCUCCUGGCCGACCUUGUGUCCCCUGUGUUCAGUUCAGUUCAGUCACCUCUCAAACACCUAUAAUUGCAUGUUAUCUCACAUUCCAUUGUUUGCACACAUGUCUCUCAUAGACAUCUGUGAUAGUCUCAAGGACAAGGACUGUCCUGGUGCCUAACUCCCUGGCUUGUCCAGGUGCCCUGCAAAUGUUCACUGACGUCCUGACAUCAGUGUCUGUAGGCUUAGACUGUUCCGCUGGGCUGUAGUGUUUUGAUAGGAGAGGGUGGGGAGCGUGCAGCUAGUUCAAAAGUAGAGUUGACAGUCAAGAGAGCAGGUCUUUGAAAGUGUACAGAACCACUUAUUAAAUCAAAUGGCCUCAAACUUCAUCCCCUGAGGAAUAUGAUGGUUUCACAAAAAGGAUUCCUAAGUCUUUAUCUGGGUGCAUCACAGUUUCUAUAACUGGAGGAGCUGUGAUCUAAGCAUUUGUAAAACUCUGAGGUCAAUGCAGGAAGUCUGUAACUGCAUGAAAAAUAUAUAAUGCACACAUGUGUCUUUGGGGAGCGAAAUGGUCCAAUCUUUCAUAGGUGGGUAUAUGAUCACAAAAGAUUGAAUACCACUGAUGAAGAAUUGUUGCAAAAAGGAUGCUCGUAAUCUUUUAUUGGCUCAGUAGGAGUUGACACUUUCUUGAGUGCUUCACAAGGGAGGCUUAUAAACCAGCGAUUCUGUUGCUUUUUCUCCACUGUCCUUCGUUAGGGCACCUACGGGUCUGGUCUACAAUUUAAAAAGAGAGGUCAAGGGCUUUUGCCUGUGUUCCAUUGGUGUUGAGUUAGUGUCAUCCUCCUUAGGUUCUUAAGGUAUUGUGAAGGUAUGAUCAGAACCCUCGUUAACCCAAGAUUAUGCAGCGUUCCCCACAUAAAGAAUUUUUCCUGCUGCAGGAAAGCUAUCCCAGAGUGCUCACCAAUCCUGCCCAGGUGGUCCAGGCUGAACCCUUUGUGCAGGUAACCUACAUGUGAAGCAUGACUAUAAAAUGUUCUGCCACUGUGGGCUGGGCUUGCAAACUGCCAGGAUGCUUUUGCUCCUGGAUGGGAGAUGAUUAAAGUGAAUUGUGGUCGGGAGAGUCAGGCUUCAUGUGUGUGUGAGCAGGGCAGUCAUUCAGAGUCUCAGGCUUUAAUGCUCUUGCUGUCUUGAGUGAAGUGAAAGUGAAAGUCGCUCAGUCAUGUCCGACUCUUUGCGACUCCAUGGACUGUCGGCUACCAGACUCCUCAGCAGACAGUCCUUGGAGUUUUUCAGGCAAAAGUACUGGAGUGGGUUGCCAUUUGAAGUUCUUAAUAAUUUUUGAAUAAAAGCUUCUAUAUUUUUACUUUGCACCUGGUCCUGCAAAUUGUGCUGCAAGACCCGAGUGGCUGCACAUACCUGAAGCAGCACCGUGCGGUGGAAAGGGCACGAGCUCUGGAGUCAGCAGUUGGGAGUUCAGGUCCCUGUUCUGUAAUUUCCCAGCUGUGUGAGUGUGACUAGGUUGCUUAACGUCUCUGGCCUUCAGUGUUCUUAUAUCUAAAACGGUGAUCAUGGUGACCAUAAUAUCUAACUUCUGUAAUUGUCAGGGCUGUUAAACAGUACACGUGAUGGCAAUGGCUGAUGAUGAUGACAAUGAUUUGAAAUUAACAAGUUAAGAAAGAACAAAAUACAUGAAUGUGAAAAGGAGACCAAAACAAACCAAAAAAUCCAUACACACAGACUUUUAGAGGUGGGAGGAAUCCUAAAGAUGAGCUCUUAGGUCCAGAUGUUUUGACCUUUGUCCUUCCACAGUCCUUUGAAUUAAACCACGUGAAAACAUUAUAUUAUCAUUAUUUUCCUUUAUUAUAAAUCUUUUUCUGCAUUCAACUUUGAGACCUCUCCCCUACCUCUCCAGACUUGGGACUGUGUCUAUCCUUGAAAACAGACAAACAAACAAACAAAACUCUUCACAACGCCUGUCAUAAAGUAGAUGUUUAGUAAAUAAUUGUUGAAAGAA